UACGUAGGGUGCGAGCGUUAAUCGGAAUUACUGGGCGUAAAGAGUGCGUAGGCGGUUCGUUAAGUCAGCUGUGAAAGCCCCGGGCUCAACCUGGGAACUGCGGUUGAAACUGGCGAACUAGAAUCUGGCAGAGGGGGGUGGAAUUCCGCGUGUAGCAGUGAAAUGCGUAGAGAUGCGGAGGAACACCGAUGGCGAAGGCAGCCCCCUGGGCCGACACUGACGCUCAGGCACGAAAGCGUGGGGAGCAAACAGG
rnacentral:rRNA from 1 species